rnacentral:miRNA from 1 species
UUUGACCAACUGGGCCUUG